UGGGGAAUUUUCCGCAAUGGGCGAAAGCCUGACGGAGCAAUGCCGCGUGGAGGUGGAAGGCCUACGGGUCGUCAACUUCUUUUCUCGGGGAAGAAACAAUGACGGUAUCUGAGGAAUAAGCAUCGGCUAACUCUGUGCCAC
rnacentral:rRNA from 1 species